UACGUAGGGUGCAAGCGUUGUCCGGAAUUAUCGGGCGUAAAGGGCUCGUAGGCGGUUUGUCGCGUCGGGAGUGAAAACACGGGGCUUAACCCCGUGCCUGCUUCCGAUACGGGCAGACUAGAGGUAUGCAGGGGAGAACGGAAUUCCUGGUGUAGCGGUGAAAUGCGCAGAUAUCAGGAGGAACACCGGUGGCGAAGGCGGUGCUCUGGGCAUUACCUGACGCUGAGGAGCGAAAGUGUGGGGAGCGAACAGG
rnacentral:rRNA from 1 species